rnacentral:rRNA from 1 species
GCAUGGCGGCAGGCUUACAAUGCAGUCGAACGAUGAUGCCCAGCUUGCUGGGCGGAUUAGUGGCGAACGGGUGAGUAAUACGUGAGUAACCUGCCCUUGACUCUGGGAUAAGCCUGGGAAACUGGGUCUAAUACUGGAUACUACCUCUUACCGCAUGGUGGGUGGUGGAAAGGGUUUUACUGGUUUUGGAUGGGCUCACGGCCUAUCAGCUUGUUGGUGGGGUAAUGGCUCACCAAGGCGACGACGGGUAGCCGGCCUGAGAGGGUGACCGGCCACACUGGGACUGAGACACGGCCCAGACUCCUACGGGAGGCAGCAGUGGGGAAUAUUGCACAAUGGGCGGAAGCCUGAUGCAGCGACGCCGCGUGAGGGAUGACGGCCUUCGGGUUGUAAACCUCUUUCAGUAGGGAAGAAGCGAGAGUGACGGUACCUGCAGAAGAAGCGCCGGCUAACUACGUGCCAGCAGCCGCGGUAAUACGUAGGGCGCAAGCGUUGUCCGGAAUUAUUGGGCGUAAAGAGCUCGUAGGCGGUUUGUCGCGUCUGCUGUGAAAGCCCGGGGCUCAACCCCGGGUCUGCAGUGGGUACGGGCAGACUAGAGUGCAGUAGGGGAGACUGGAAUUCCUGGUGUAGCGGUGAAAUGCGCAGAUAUCAGGAGGAACACCGAUGGCGAAGGCAGGUCUCUGGGCUGUUACUGACGCUGAGGAGCGAAAGCAUGGGGAGCGAACAGGAUUAGAUACCCUGGUAGUCCAUGCCGUAAACGUUGGGCACUAGGUGUGGGGGACAUUCCACGUUUUCCGCGCCGUAGCUAACGCAUUAAGUGCCCCGCCUGGGGAGUACGGCCGCAAGGCUAAAACUCAAAGGAAUUGACGGGGGCCCGCACAAGCGGCGGAGCAUGCGGAUUAAUUCGAUGCAACGCGAAGAACCUUACCAAGGCUUGACAUUCACCGGACCGCCCCAGAGAUGGGGUUUCCCUUCGGGGCUGGUGGACAGGUGGUGCAUGGUUGUCGUCAGCUCGUGUCGUGAGAUGUUGGGGUUAAGUCCCGCAACGAGCGCACCCUCGUCUAUGUGCCAGCACGUGAUGGUGGGGACUCAUAGGAGACUGCCGGGGUCAAC